CUUCCUAACCUUCAAGGGAUUCUGUCUGCACUGUUCUCCAUCAUUUACAGGAUUAUCCUCAUCGGCAAUUGCCUCAUCAUAUUAAUAACUAGGCUUGAUCAUGCAUUGUAGAAACCCAUGUAUUUUUUUCCUGACAAAUUUUUUCUCUCUGGAAAUCUGUUAUAUAUCAGUUACUGUCCCAAGAAUUCUCUUCAACAUUUGGACACAGAAUAGAAACAUUUCUGUGCUGGCUUGUGUUGUGUAGAUGUUUCUUUCUUAUGUUGGGAACUGAUGAAUGUCUCCUUAUA
rnacentral:lncRNA from 1 species